rnacentral:misc_RNA from 1 species
GAUGAAGAACGUAGCGAAAUGCGAUAAGUAAUGUGAAUUGCAGAAUUCAGUGAAUCAUCGAAUCUUUGAACGCACAUUGCGCCCGCCAGUAUUCUGGCGGGCAUGCCUGUCUGAGCGUCAUUUCAACCCUCAUGCCCCUAGGGCGUGGUGUUGGGGAUCGGCCAAAGCCCGCGAGGGACGGCCGGCCCCUAAAUCUAGUGGCGGACCCGUCGUGGCCUCCUCUGCGAAGUAGUGAUAUUCCGCAUCGGAGAGCGACGAGCCCCUGCCGUUAAACCCCCAACUUUCCAAGGUUGACCUCAGAUCAGGUAGGAAUACCCGCUGAACUUAAGCAUAUCAAAAGCGGAGA